AAUUAAAAAUAUUUCAUUAAGGAAUUUGAUGGCCUGUGGAACAAAACAGAACUUGGAUCUGUUUUUUGUAAACAGAGGAGCACAGUAUCGUGGUCCUGAAGGCAGCAGUUCAAAUGAGGAGGCAAGGGGGUGCUUCUGAUUACCCACAAUGCUGUUUGCCUUUCUUAGUGUUCUGUUUUAUAUGUAUUUUCCAUACUUGGGAACGAAAUA